AGAGUUUGAUCAUGGCUCAGGAUGAACGCUGGCGGCGUGCCUAACACAUGCAAAGUCGAGCGAGAAACCAUCGAUUGAAACUUCGGUAGAUAUUGAAGCGGAAAGCGGCGGACGGGUGAGUAACGCGUAGGCAACCUGCCCUUUGCAGAGGGAUAGCAACGGGAAACUGUUAUUAAAACCUCAUAAUACCGUAAUGUCAAAUGAUGAAACGGUCAAAGAUUUAUCGGCAAAGGAUGGGCCUGCGUCUGAUUAGUUAGUUGGUAGGGUAACGGGCCUACCAAGGCAGCGAUCAGUAGCCGACCUGAGAGGGUGAUCGGCCACAUUGGAACUGAGACACGGUCCAAACUCCUACGGGAGGCAGCAGUGGGGAAUAUUGCACAAUGGGCGAAAGCCUGAUGCAGCAACGCCGCGUGAAGGAUGAAGGCCUUUGGGUCGUAAACUUCUGUCCUUGGGGAAGAAAAAAUGACGGUACCCCUGGAGGAAGUCCCGGCUAACUACGUG
rnacentral:rRNA from 1 species